rnacentral:lncRNA from 1 species
CAACCUCAACUUCCUGGGCUCAAAUGAUUCUCCUGCCUUAGCCUCCCGAGUAGCUGGGACUACAGGUGUGAAACACGAUGCCUGGCUAAUUUUUGUAUUUUUAGUAGAGACGGGGUUUCACCAUGUUGGCCAGGCUGGUCUCGAACUCCUGACCUUAAGUGAUUGUCCUCCCAAAGUGCUGGGAUUACAGGCGUGAGCCACCGUGCCCAGCCUCUUUUCUUUAUAAAUUGCUCAGUCUCAGGUAUGCCUUUAUGGCAAUGCGAAAACAGCCUAACAUAACCUGUGUCAGAGGCUCUGCCCACAGCCCUCCACAUUUGGAGACAUUGGAGCUCUUGUCCUCUGAGUUUAUGUGGAUGUCACUGAUCCAAUGUCGUCUGCAUUUGGAGCUGCUGUUCCACAUCAUAUGCUUCUUUAUUUUUUUGAGACAAGGUCUUACUCUGUCACUGAGGCUGCAGUGCAGUGGCACAUUCAAUCAUAGCUCACUGUAACCUCGAACUCCUGAACUCAAACAAUCCUUCCACUUCCCAAGUGAGUCCUGUGCUUCUGGAAGGAAUGGCUCCAACACUCCCUGUCUUUCUAAUGCAUUGAUAAUCCACUCUCCUGUGCAUUUGGGGGGCCCUGCCCCACUGUCCUCUGCACUUGGAUGUCACUGCUCCACUGCCGUCUUGAUUUUGAGGUCCUUUCUCUGCUGUCCUCUGCAUUUGGAAUGAUCAGCUGGAGUGAGGCAGGCAUUCGCUGCAGCGGAACUGCUUUGGUCACUGACUUCAUCUAUUUUCCUGCCAGCUUGGUAGUCCAUCCCUAAGAGCUCCAUGUAGCCUUGCUGGUCCCCAGUGGUCCCCCAGAGCACCCCAUAGGCUGCCCAGACCUUGGCAGGGAGCGUCUGCAUCUCUACACAUGCCGACAGUGGGUGUUACACCCUAAACUGCAGCUGCCCCCCAACUAGCUGAAGGCUUCCUGAGAUAUGUUCUGGGCCCAUCUGCAGCCUAGGCUCCUCCCGGCCACCCAGCUGCUUCCUGCCCCACCCCUUGUGACAGCGUGGAGGGCACCCACCGUCUCCCACCCUCCUUUCUCAUGCCUAUUCCUUACUUGUGUGUAUUGGUCCCUGAGGCUUGGUGCAAAGGCUCCUUAUAUUUAGGGUGCAGGCUGCGGUGGACGUGGAAGGUGGGGGGAGAGACGGCCAGAGGCAGGAAAGGGAUCCUGAUGCCCCCUCACCAGCCCACAUAGAAAGGUCAGGAGCUUAUGAGGUGGGGGUGCCCCUGCCCUACAGGAUAAGAGCUGUUUCCUGUGAGGGGGGCCUGGGGCUGCCCUGGCAGUGGCUCUUGGGCCUCCUGGCCCACCAGAACGUCCUGGCAAGCUCACAAAACUCACAAACACUGAACUCCACUUCUAGAGAUUCGAAUUUGGGAGCUCUGGGGCAUGAGCCAGAGAUCUGCAGGUGAUUCUGACAGGCAGCCAGGUGGAGACAUGGGGGUGAGAGAUGAGUUUUCUUUGCAGCCCACCCAGAGAGGAAAGGCCUUUCCUUUCAAAGAGCCUCAGAAAGCAAUGGUCCAGGUCCUUCCUGCUUCCUGGGAGAUGCCACAUGGCUCUACUUCUGAGGGGUCUGUGCAGUGGGUGUGGGAGCACCUGGGGCUC